rnacentral:tRNA from 1 species
GACAACUUGGCCGAGUGGUUAAGGCGCGGGACUGCUAUGCAGUCAGAACGUUUCAUGGUCCAACCAUGGAAGUCAUCCCGUUCAUUCGUGAGCGCAGGUUCGAAUCCUGCAGUUGUCG